AUUGCUUAUGGAUGAGUAUGGAAGUGUGUUUAUAUCCUCUUAAUUAAGGAUAUUUAGAGCUGAGCUAUUUGGGAUGAAUGAUCAGAUCUUGCGAAUUUGUGGCGACCUGAUUCCUUCUGUUUCUUUCAUAGUUAUUGCCUUAUCGGUUAUUUGGCUGGUGAAGCUUUAAAUGCUUGUAUUUAUUUCCACUCGAUGACUAGUCUACACUAGGACCAUUAUAGUUUGAUAUUUCAAUGAAACUGCUUGGUAUAUGGAGACACUCAGUCCCCGGUUCCUGCAUCUUCUCAUUUCGGAAUGCCUUGUGAGACCUUUCUCUCACCACCUAUUGUAUGUAGAAUACUCUUGGUUGUCCUUGGAAGUGCUUUUGUUUGUUGGUGAUGCUGGAACAUUUCCUAUUAUGACCAAGCACCAGUAAAUCCAUGAUGGAUCCUACUCCUCGAACGGUGGUUUUGCAGUAUAAUCCUGUAGGCAUACUCUUCAUCACUUCAUGCACAAUUGUGACAGAGUAUGCCCGUUGUGUCGUAAGAGGAAAUGCUUUUGCGGGACCAUGUUUUUAGUUUUACA